rnacentral:tRNA from 18 species
GGGCGGUUAGCUCAGCUGGUAGAGCAUCUCGUUUACACCGAGAGGGUCGGCGGUUCGAACCCGUCACCGCCCACCA